AUGGAGAAGAUAAUUGAUCUAUCAGAUGGUGAGUAUGCUAGAGUUUAUGAUUAUCAACUUGAGUUGCUUAGAAGCAACCCGGGUAGCACUAUUGCAGUGACAUUAAAUCCAGAAAUUCUUGAGAGCAAUGUGUUUGAAAGAAUGUAUAUGUGUUUAGAUGGUUGCAAGAAAGGAUUUCUAGCAGGAUGUAGAAGAGUUGUGAGGCUAGAUGGAUGCUUUCUGAAGGGUGCAUUCAAGGGGCAAUUGCUUUGUGCAAUUGGCAGAGAUGCCAAUAACCAGAUGUAUCCAAUAGCCUGGGCUAUAGUAGAGGUUGAGAGCUAUGAUUCUUGGUAUUGGUUCAUUGGGUUUCUUCAAAAAGAUCUCCAGAUAAACAACAAUGGUGAAGGAUGGGUGUUCAUCUCCGAUCAGCAAAAGGGUCUCAUCAGGGCAGUCAAUGAGCUUGUGCCCCAAGCAGAGCAUAGGAUGUGCGCAAGACACAUUUACGCUAACUAG
rnacentral:rRNA from 1 species